UGGGGAAUAUUGGACAAUGGGCGAAAGCCUGAUCCAGCAAUGCCGCGUGAGUGGUGAAGGCCUUAGGGUUGUAAAGCUCUUUUACCCGGGAUGAUAAUGACAGUACCGGGAGAAUAAGCCCCGGCUAACUCCGUG
rnacentral:rRNA from 1 species